GAAGGCCUGGAGGAGGGAAUUUCUGUUCAGUUUUGGAAGUGAGCCGCUUGGGUUUCUCAUCCCCUAGCCCGCGCCCCUCAGGAGGAGGGACCCUGCCUGCUCCUAGAACAGCGUUGGGACUGUGCCCGCUGCUCAGUGGCACCGCUGAUCUCUUAGGUCUUUCUACUGCCUCUCCUUCCUCCUGUUGUAAAUUCAAAUUUCCAUGAAAUCCAAAAGGAUACAGUGAACCAACAGCUACUCUGUCUCCUCCAAGAUUUAAGACCCCCUCUGGGCAAAAUUGUGAAACAGAGGAAGGAAAGAAAAGGAAAGAAGGAAGGAAUUGAGAGGAUUGAGAGGACCUGCCAAGUGCCAGGAUUUUCUUGAGCCUGAUAAUGCACAGUUCCACUUGAUGAUGGAGAGCCGCUGUGUACAUCCAACUUUAUGGUUUGAUACCCCUAACUUGGAUCUGUGAUUCAGCUAUUCUUUUCCCUGAGCAAUAAGAGAGAAGAAGGGAGGAAAAAAAGACUGGGAUUGUGGCACUUGAGACUGAUGUGGAGUGCACCUGGAUAUCGAGACUGAUAUGGAGUGCAUAAGAAGAUAUCAAGUGGCCCCAGGUGGAGAAUAAGAGCUGUUGGGAUACGGAGAUCUGCACGUCCUCUUACCUGCCGCACCCAUGGAGAUACAAGGCAAGUGCAUAAAGAUAAAGCUCUGCUGACAGACCUACGUUUUCAAAUUACCACAAGGAACUUUCUCUAAGCAGUCUAUUAUUUAGGAAUGACAAGACACAAAAGGGAGUAAUGAUAUAUGGUUGCCCAAUUUGCAUAUGAUCAGGUGACGCUCCACGCCAGAGAGGACUAGAACAGAAUGAUCUGAAUUUAGGCCAAGCUCUGAUGACUAAAUUUCAUGCUGGAUGUACGUCUCCCAACACGCAUGUUCCAGUGUAAGCUACUUUAACCUUCUGGCCCCUGCUCUAUUUCCCCAUACAAUCUUUUUCCUUAAGGAAAGGGUUAGACCCGUUUGCCUUCCUGAAGCAUUAGUCCGUGCCAGCAACCGGAGUCCAGGGGAAGACACUGCUACCAAAAGACAGAAAUGACCCGUCCUGCCACCCCUCCUUGUGGCCGUGUGGAUGAACAUGUCAGUUACAGAACCUGUCAUCCCCGAGAGCCCGAGGCCAGGAUGGAGAAUACACACGCGUCCCCUGGGACAGGGCAGCACGCUCCCACCCGCUCACACCUCUGGGCCCUGCGCUCCACAAGAGCUGUUACUGAUGAGAAUGCAAAGCCUGCUCACCGAGGGGAGAAGGGGUAAGUAGAGCACAGUGCCCAUAAAAGAGCUGUUUGCUACCUAUUUUUCUUCUCAGCUCCUAGCACAGCCUCUACCUAGUAGGUGCUCGGUUCAUGAUAGAUAUUUCCUGAAUAAAUUGAGUCCUCUGCUCCUGGGAGACCACGUAUCACUGUGAUACAUAACAAGUCAGCUACCCUUAUGUGAAAAGACAGUCCCUAGGCAAAGUUCUUGCUAUUCCUGAUUACUCAAAAUGUGAGCCCUUUCUCGUAGUUUCUCUGGUUUUGUAUACACAGAUUCGGGACGAAGCCCUCUGGUCGUGUUUGUAAAUCUCUAGAGCAGGACAUUAGCAUUCAGAAGCACUUAUGAGAGGAAUAAAGCCCUUAUGAGAAUCCAGGACUCCACAAUAAGAUAUUUCUCAGCUGUCAAACAAAUAAUUUACAACAUGGAUGAUGGAGUCAGGGGCAGGAUUUGGAUUUUAAAUGAAGCAAGUAUGCAGAACUAGAAGAUUAUAGUUUCGAGCAGGAAAAUCAAUGGGAUGUUGGAAAUUUGAGAUCUCCUCACAGGCUUAAUAAUAUAAAACACCAGGAUCAGAUAACAGAUAUUGGGUUCUUGGGAAACCACAAGGUUGGGUAAGUCGACUUUUGCUUGAAAUGUACAUUUCCUAGAGCUUGGGAGGAAGAACAACAGUGGAACUCUGCCAAGGGAGGAGGAGGGAGAGGGAGGGGGAGAGUCCUUUCAUUCAGAUCCAUCAUCUUUGACCCGAAAUCAGUGCCCUUACCUCUCAAAAGACAGUAUUGUAUUU